CCAGCGCCCGGACCCGGCCCGCCAGGCACCACGCAGCCGGACGGAGCGGGGCAGGGCUGGCGGGUUGUGCGCCGUCCGCGGAGGGAUGCGGUGACGGUGACCGGCGCAGUGUACGGGCGUCGGGGUGGAGGGCACCUGACGCGGGACCCCCGGGCUCGCGGUUUCCGAGGGGCCCAGGCUUAGGGUCCCUGCGCGGGCGAGCCCGCCGCCCUUCCAGCCAGGCCCCUGCAGGCGAUAAGUCACGACGCAGUCUCCGGAGCCCGGCGCCCCCACCCCCGGUCGGCUCACCUGCAGGCAGCCGAAGGUCCCGCCGCCCACAACCCUGAAUGUCACCAUGAAGCCUCGGUGUUAGUACACAUCUCUCAGUAAGAACCCCACACAGAACAUGCCUGAGCUCUGAGGAGCUGGGGAGGGGCCUUCCUGCCCGUGCACAGCAGUGACAGGAAGGCCACUCUGCGAGGCAGUCUGGGGCCACCAGUCCAGG